GGCCCUCCUCUUCUAUCGCAGUUUGGAAAACAACACAGAACACUCCAGCAUCUCUUCUGUUGUAUUCUCUUAUAUUCUUUGACAGUUUUGCUACUAGGGUUCUUGUCAUGUUUUCAAAGUGACAGAUCGUAUAUCUUUGGACAACAACAAACAGCAGACCUGUGAGACCGUCCACCAUGCCAGCGCAACGAAGAACCAUGACAGGGUCUAACAGCCGUGCCUUUAAACAAGGAAGUAGGAGUCUCCUCGGCAGACGAAUGGCUGCUAAUAUAACGCAUUUAAAGGAAGAGCAUACAUCCUCCCUGCUUUAAUCAUGGAGAAAACCCCAGGCCUCAAAUUAAAUUGUGAUAUCGGAGAGGACAGCCUUACUGAUGGAAUUUCAGAGUCCAUUAACGCAAAACCAAUCACUGGGAUGGGCCAGACCCUCCCCGAUCAAAAUUCAAAACAGCGAGGGGGUAUCAUCAGCCGUGUGCAUUAAGAGCGUUAUUGAACCAGGACAAUGCUGGAGAGGAGGAUGAGGAAGAGGAGGAGGAAGAGGAGGAGGAGUGGUACGGGGGAAGAAAAGAAACAGCAGCAAAAAGCAGAGAAAAUCAAUGCCUGGGUCCCAGCGGACUGGUGGCGGUACUGUGGGAGGCGCGACCAGCAGAGCCAAGGCCAGCCCAGACAAACUCCGCCCGUGAUGGAUGAGGCGGAGGAGAAUGCCGUCUACCUAUAUGCAGCCAUGCACCAAAUAAAACCCAGGAAUGCAUUCCUGUAAAUGGACCGCAGCUCUUCUCUGCCAAACGCAUUAGAGCUGUUAAAAUCCACAUCACUCAUGUUAGUUACCGGAGACAGUCUCAUAGUGUGAGAACUGUGUGAACCGGAGAGGGUUUUAACACAGACAUAAAGCCCUAUACAUUUCAGCUUCAAAGUAGUUAAAGCUAACUGUAAGGAGGGUGAUAGAUGGUCUCCCCCCUCCACACACACACAGACACACACACACACAUACGGUUUAAUUUCCAGUCACCUUUGUUCUGUACGACUGCACAGGAAGAGCAAAUAUGUACCAAACAAUAAAUAAUGAACCAGUGAAUUCAUGUUUCAGAUGCAAAUACAGGUUGUCCAUGCAGACUUCUCAUUAAAAACCUGUGUACUGUUUAAUAAUU